rnacentral:tRNA from 1 species
GCGCCCGUAGCUCAGUUGGAUAGAGUACUGCCCUCCGAAGGCAGGGGUCGUGCGUUCGAGUCGCGCCGGGCGCGCCA